rnacentral:tRNA from 1 species
GUAAUUAUAGUUUAACUAAAACAUUAGAUUGUGAAUCUAAUAAUAGAAGAAUCUAAACUUCUUAUUUACC